rnacentral:rRNA from 1 species
UACGGAGAGGGCAAGUGUUAUUCGUAUUUACUGGGCGUAAAGCGUAUGUAGGCGGUUACUUAAGUUUCUGGUUAAAUCGUAAGGAUAUUACGGCGCUAUUAAUACUGAGUAACUAGAGUAUCUAAGAGGAUAGCAGUACUUUAAGUGGAGGGGUAGCAUCCUUAUAUAUUUAAAGGACUGGCAUUCGACGACGGUUGCUAUUUACUAGAUACUGACGCUUCAGUACGAAAGCAUAGGGAGCAAACAGG